CCCUGUUAUUAGUCAUUGCCAUUCAAAAAAUCAUUCUCUCUUCCAUAGAACCCUCCACUCCCGUCUCCCAUUCCUCCAAGCAUCGGCUCUUCGUGCAGGAGCCUUCACAGGGACCUCUUACUUAUGAGGAGGUAUUCAUUCUCAUUUCUAUAUGGGAGUCUAACUCUUCUCCAACCGAACGUGCCCUUACGAGUAACAAGUCGUUUGCCAGCC
rnacentral:lncRNA from 1 species